AAACCGACUCUUGAAGUGCUCGAUAAUAAUAAAGAGCCCAUGUCUCUGUAAUCGAAUCAGGGAAUAGUUUCGUUUCAGAAGAGUGACAAACAUUUUCGAUCCACAACAAGGUUUUCUCCAGGGGCAAGGGGCUGGUUUGGUGUUUCUUUCAUUUCACUUUAUAUGAAUACAUAGAAAAGUUUGAAGGGUUUUAGGGAUUUGCAUCAUGUUAGGUUCAUUACCAAUAUUGCCACUCCCUGCUCCUCCCUCUGAUGGAAAUCUAGGUCCUCUCCCUGAGUCUCAAGUGAUUGAUAAUGAGGAGCAGAACAAAUCAAAUUCUGUUUCUGUUCCAGCGCCGGCAACAGUUGCCACCCACACCAGAACGAUUGGAAUUAUACAUCCGCCUCCGGACAUUAGGACCAUUGUUGAUAAAACCUCCCAGUUCGUCGCCAAGAAUGGUCCAGAAUUUGAAAAGAGGAUCAUUGCAAAUAACACAGGAAAUGUCAAGUUCAAUUUCUUGAACUCAUCAGAUCCCUAUCACGCUUAUUAUCAACACCGGUUGUCCGAAUUUCGCGCUCAGAAUCAGUCUUCAGGGCUGCAACCUCCUUCCCAGCCUGCAGACUCGGCUGUCCCUGAAUCAGCCCCGUCUGAUAGCAACGGCGUAGCAGCAGCAGCAGAAAAGAUCGACGUUUCUGCCCAGUUUAAAGCUGUAAGGAAAGUGCUUGAACCCCCUGAAGCUGAACAGUAUACAGUUCGGCUUCCUGAAGGAAUUACAGGGGAAGAGCUGGAUAUUAUAAAGCUUACAGCACAAUUCGUGGCUCGAAAUGGGAAAUCUUUUUUGACAGGGUUGACUAGUAGGGAAGUUAAUAAUCCCCAGUUCCAUUUUCUUAAACCGACCCACAGCAUGUUUACGUUUUUUACUUCCCUCGCGGAUGCAUAUUCUAAGGUUUUGAUGCCUCCAAAAGGUUUGCCGGAGAAGCUAAAGAAGAGCGUGUCUGAUAUGACUACUGUCCUUGAAAGGUGUGUGAAUAGGCUGGAGUGGGAGCGUUCGCAAGAGCAAGCUAGGCAAAAGGCUGAGGAUGAGAUAGAACAGGAAAGAAUACAAAUGGCUAUGAUUGAUUGGCAUGAUUUUGCGGUGGUUGAAACAAUAGAUUUUGCUGAUGAUGAGGAUGAAGAGUUACCUCCUCCAAUGACUAUUGAGGAGGUUAUAAGGAGAAGCAAGGUGACAGCCAUGGAAGAAGAAGAUAUUGUUGAGCCUGGAAAGGAGAUUGAAAUGGAAAUGGAUGAGGAAGAGGCCCAGCUUGUCGAGGAGGGUAUGAGAGCUGCUAGUUUGGAAGACCGUGAUGACGUGAAGCAGAAUGAAGUCAGGGUUACUGAAGACCCUGAACCACCGAUGAGAAUUGUUAAGAACUGGAAGAGACCAGAGGAGAGGAUUUCUGCAGAAAGAGAUUCAACCAAGUUUGUUGUUUCUCCUAUCACUGGCGAGUUAAUUCCUAUUAGUGAGAUGUCAGAACAUAUGCGGAUUUCUCUCAUUGAUCCCAAGUACAAAGAACAAAAGGAAAGAAUGUUUGCCAAAAUUCGAGAGACAACUUUGGCUGCGGAUGAUGAAAUUUCAAGAAACAUUGUUGGACUUGCUCGGACCCGUCCUGAUAUAUUCGGUACUACAGAAGAAGAGGUCUCCAAUGCUGUCAAGGCAGAGAUUGAGAAGAUAAAUGAUGAGCAACCAAAGCAGGUUAUAUGGGAUGGUCACACUGGUAGCAUUGGACGUACUGCAAACCAAGCCAUGUCACAAACUAUUGGAAGCGAGGAUCAAAAUGAUGCUUUUAAUAAUGAAGCCAAGAACCUUCUGGGUCCUGCUGCACCUCCUCCAAGACCUGGUAUGCCUUCAAUUCGUCCUCUUCCGCCUCCACCUGGACUGGCAUUGAAUCUUCCCCGUGUUCCCGUCCAAUAUUCUGUUCCCCAUAGUGGUGCCCUUCCAAUGCCUCCACCUAGACCCAUGAUGCCAUCUAUUCGGCCUGCUCCUCCUCCUCCAAUGUCGAUGAAUAGUGGACAGCAGUCAGUUAUGGCGGGCCAACCUCACCCAAUGCAUCCAUCAAUUCAUAUGAAUAACCAAGGAAUUCCCAUACCCCCACCACCGGGAUCUCAGUUCACUCCUGUUCCAGUUCCGCGACCUUUUGUUCCUCUUUCUGUUCCACCAUCAGUUAUGCCUAUGAUGCACCCACCACCUUUGCCUCAAGGAGUGCCACCGCCACCGCCACCAGAGGAGGCUCCUCCUCCACUCCCAGAAGAACCAGAACCAAAGAGGCAGAAACUUGAUGAUUCUGCUCUGAUACCUGAAGAUCAAUUUCUGGCUCAACAUCCUGGGCCUGUUUGCAUUUGUGUAUCUGUUCCUAAUGUUGAUGAAGGAAAUCUUAAGGGACAAGUUCUGGAAAUUACAGUGCAAUCUUUGUCUGAAACUGUUGGUAGUCUGAAGGAAAAAAUUGCUGGGGAGAUCCAGCUCCCUGCUAAUAAGCAGAAAUUGAGUGGAAAGCCUGGCUUUCUCAAGGAUAAUAUGUCACUUGCCCAUUACAAUGUUGGUGGAGGUGAAACACUUACCCUCACGUUAAGAGAGCGUGGUGGUAGAAAGAGAUGAGCAUAUUGCUUGCGUUUCCAUUCAAGAAGGUUGUUGUAAUCUUUGCCUUAUUAUGAGGCAUAUGGAUUCUUAUGAUUUUGGCACCAUGGCGCUUCUCUCUUGAGGGGAAUGGGAAGUAGUGGUUCCUUUAUCUAAACUGAUCAAUUCAAAUUAUUUGCAUCUCUGAUUAUUGCUUUCUUUUGAAUUUCAGUUGAUUUAUUGCGAAGUUACUGAUUUGUUUUUAAUCAGCACUCCUUUGCUGUCAGGGAGGGAUCAUUUACAUAUUAGUUUAUGUGUUUUUUUUUCAUUUUCAGUGCUCUUGCAAUAGUCAGUGUUGAGUGAUGAUUUUGGGUUUUCUUUUCCUAGUGCUUAGGUUUUGUCUUUUGUUGGAUAUGUUCGUACAAGAACACAGUUGGGCAGUUGGUUACAAGGCCGUUUGUUGCUGAGCAUAUGUACCUUUAACCAGUGUAUCUUGUUUGGGUUUUAGUCACAAGAAAUUCUGCUUGGACUUGUGGGAAGGGAUUUGCAGCUUAGCCUGAUGUGUUUUUUGAAUGGCACAAGGCAGUUUAUUGCAGAAUGGUCCAGGUUUGGUAUUUUAGAGAAGGCACUGGUUCUCAUGUUCAUCUUUUCGGGGAUAUCUUAUGAAACUUUCUGUUUAAGUUCAUUUGCAGCUGAUAAUAUUUGCAUGUAUUUUAAUCUCAGUGAAUAACAACCGUUCUAAUAAUAACAAACAGAAAUAGCUUUAUAUUUGUAGAUAAAUAUUAAAUAAUAUGCGGUAUGGGCUAAAGCCAUAGGCGACUGGAAACAUAAGGAAUAGACAGAUCUGAGAAAAAGUCGAAGAUGAAUCAGGUUUCAGCCUUUAUGGUCAAGGAGAAUAAAACACUGCAUUUUGUGUCAGAGACUAAUUUCAGUUAAAUCUACGGAAUAAUCUUGUAUGGUUUUUGUCCGAGUUGUAAGCACUUUCGUUAGUGCUGCUUGCAUAAAAUUCACUUGGUAACUUGCCAAACAAGAACAACUUCCAAUCAAAGCUCAGGCAUCUGGUGAUACUGGAAGCGAGACUCACUCAUAAGUUAAGUUGUUUUUUUGGGUUUUAUACUAUAUGUAAUGCUCAUUUUCCUAAUGUAAAGGUCAGAAUCUUUCUCAUGAUUA